rnacentral:rRNA from 1 species
GAUGAACGCUGGCGGCGUGCUUAACACAUGCAAGUCGAACGAAGCAUUUAGAACAGAUUACUUCGGUUUGAAGUUCUUUAUGACUGAGUGGCGGACGGGUGAGUAACGCGUGGGUAACCUGCCUUGUACUGGGGGAUAGCAGCUGGAAACGGCUGGUAAUACCGCAUAAGCGCACAAUGUUGCAUGACAUGGUGUGAAAAACUCCGGUGGUAUAAGAUGGACCCGCGUCUGAUUAGCUAGUUGGUGAGAUAACAGCCCACCAAGGCGACGAUCAGUAGCCGAGCUGAGAGGGUGACCGGCCACAUUGGGACUGAGACACGGCCCAGACUCCUACGGGAGGCAGCAGUGGGGAAUAUUGCACAAUGGAGGAAACUCUGAUGCAGCGACGCCGCGUGAGUGAAGAAGUAAUGCGUUAUGUAAAGCUCUAUCAGCAGGGAAGAUAGUGACGGUACCUGACUAAGAAGCUCCGGCUAAAUACGUG